AGCCAUAUAGCUCAGUGGUAGAACAUUUGCUUUGCAUGCAGAAGGUUCCAGGUUCAAUCCCCAGGUCAGGCUG